CCGACGGUGAGGGAUGAAGGCCUCUGGGCUGUAAACCUCUUUUAUCAAGGAAGAAGAUCUGACGGUACUUGAUGAAUAAGCCACGGCUAAUUCCGUGCCAGCAGCCGCGGUAAUACGGGAGUGGCAAGCGUUAUCCGGAAUUAUUGGGCGUAAAGCGUCCGCAGGCGGCCCUUCAAGUCUGCUGUUAAAAAGUGGAGCUUAACUCCAUCAUGGCAGUGGAAACUGAGGGGCUUGAGUGUGGUAGGGGCAGAGGGAAUUCCCGGUGUAGCGGUGAAAUGCGUAGAUAUCGGGAAGAACACCAGUGGCGAAGGCGCUCUGCUGGGCCAUCACUGACGCUCAUGGACGAAAGCCAGGGGAGCGAAAGGGAUUAGAUACCCCUGUAGUCCUGGCCGUAAACGAUGAACACUAGGUGUCGGGGGAAUCGACCCCCUCGGUGUCGUAGCCAACGCGUUAAGUGUUCCGCCUGGGGAGUACGCACGCAAGUGUGAAACUCAAAGGAAUUGACGGGGGCCCGCACAAGCGGUGGAGUAUGUGGUUUAAUUCGAUGCAACGCGAAGAACCUUACCAGGGUUUGACAUCCUGCGAAUCUCUUGGAAACGAGAGAGUGCCUUCGGGAGCGCAGUGACAGGUGGUGCAUGGCUGUCGUCAGCUCGUGUCGUGAGAUGUUGGGUUAAGUCCCGCAACGAGCGCAACCCACGUCUUUAGUUGCCAGCAUUUAGUUGGGCACUCUAGAGAGACCGCCGGUGAUAAACCGGAGGAAGGUGUGGAUGACGUCAAGUCAUCAUGCCCCUUACAUCCUGGGCUACACACGUACUACAAUGCUACGGACAAAGGGCAGCAAGUUCGCGAGGACAAGCAAAUCCCAUAAACCGUGGCUCAGUUCAGAUCGUAGGCUGCAACUCGCCUACGUGAAGGAGGAAUCGCUAGUAAUCGCAGGGUCAGCAUACUGCGGUGAAUACGUUCCCGGGCCUUG
rnacentral:rRNA from 1 species